CCUACGGGAGGCAGCAGUGGGGAAUUUUGGACAAUGGGCGAAAGCCUGAUCCAGCCAUUCCGCGUGCAGGAUGAAGGCCCUCGGGUUGUAAACUGCUUUUGUACGGAACGAAAAGCCUUCUUCUAAUACAGGAGGGUCAUGACGGUACCGUAAGAAUAAGCACCGGCUAACUACGUGCCAGCAGCCGCGGUAAUACGUAGGGUGCAAGCGUUAAUCGGAAUUACUGGGCGUAAAGCGUGCGCAGGCGGUUAUGUAAGACAGAUGUGAAAUCCCCGGGCUCAACCUGGGAACUGCAUUUGUGACUGCAUAGCUAGAGUACGGUAGAGGGGGAUGGAAUUCCGCGUGUAGCAGUGAAAUGCGUAGAUAUGCGGAGGAACACCGAUGGCGAAGGCAAUCCCCUGGACCUGUACUGACGCUCAUGCACGAAAGCGUGGGGAGCAAACAGGAUUAGAUACCCUGGUAGUCCACGCCCUAAACGAUGUCAACUGGUUNUUGGGUCUUCACUGACUCAGUAACGAAGCUAACGCGNGAGUGACGCGNGGAGGACGCGCGAGUAGAAGUAAAGAAGUAGACGNGNGAGAGNGCGAGACGACGACGAGGGAGGAGG
rnacentral:rRNA from 1 species